GACGAACCGUCCUAACGUUGUUCGGAAUCACUGGGCUUAAAGGGCGCGUAGGCGGGCUGCCAAGUCUGAGGUGAAAUCUUUCGGCUUAACCGGAAAAUAGCCUUGGAUACUGGCAAUCUUGAGGGAGGUAGGGGCAUGUGGAACUUCCGGUGGAGCGGUGAAAUGCGUUGAUAUCGGAAGGAACGCCGGUGGCGAAAGCGACGUGCUGGACCUCUACUGACGCUGAGGCGCGAAAGCCAGGGGAGCAAACGGG
rnacentral:rRNA from 1 species